rnacentral:rRNA from 1 species
AGACCGAUAGCGAACAAGUAGAGUGAUCGAAAGAUGAAAAGCACUUUGAAAAGAGAGUUAAAAAGCACGUGAAAUUGUUGAAAGGGAAGCGCUUGCGACCAGACUCGCCCGCGGGGUUCAGCCGGCAUUCGUGCCGGUGUACUUCCCCGUGGGCGGGCCAGCGUCGGUUUGGGCGGCCGGUCAAAGGCCUCCGGAAUGUAGCACCCUUCGGGGUGCCUUAUAGCCGGGGGUGCAAUGCGGCCAGCCUGGACCGAGGAACGCGCUUCGGCACGGACGCUGGCAUAAUGGUCGUAAACGACCCGUCUUGAAACACGGACCAAG